CGGGCUGGCAUUCAUUCACGCUUCUGUCUGGCGACCUGGGAGGGAAGAGGACGUUGGGAUGAGGCGGAGCAGCUGAGAUAAGGACCACCAUUACCCCCUGGUACUGACAGAGAAGAUGAAUCUGUGUUGGUAAAGGAAACACUGGACGCAGUAACAGGUUUGUGUUUCCGUGAUUAACUUCUGAGACGCGAGGAAGCAGGCACAGACACCUACGCUAGACCAGUCCAUAGUUCACAGG